CACCCUUUCUUUCCACUUCACAUGUGUGCCUUGUCAGGGUUCAUUUGGGAAAUUUCUUGCCUUCUUAAUGAGGUUGGGACCAUCAGUUGUGGUGUGCAGAAGUCAGUGUAGUCACAAAAACCAUCAAGCGCUACAAUGAAGCUGGCCCACAACUCAACUGGCUGAGGACCGCCCCAGGAAAGGAAGAUCAAGACUCACCUCUGCUGCUGAGGAUAAGUUCAUCUGAGUCACCCACUUCAGAAAUCACACGUUGACUGCACCUCAGAUUAGAGCCCAGGAAAAUGACCCCAACCUCGCCAGAUGACCUGGCCUCCACAGUCACCUGACCUAUACCUAAACCAAAUGGAGAUGAUUUGGGAUGACCACAGAGUGAAGGCAAAAAGGCCAACAAGUGUUCAGCAUGUAUGCAAACUCCUUCAAGACUGUUGGAAAACUGUAUGACUACCUCAUGGAGAGAGGUAGUCAUACAGAAAGUUUUGCAUAUUUACUUUUUCAUUUGAUAUUUUCUUACUUUCCCAGGUAUAAAAAUGAAAUCAUCUAUUCACAAAUAAGGAAUAAAUGUGAAAGGUGUGAGGUUGUUACACCAGCUCAUCUAAAAAGCAUUUGGAAGCAAGUCAAUUUUGCUUACAUAUCACCUCUAUUAAACAUCACAAAGUAUUUUCAUGAAAUAGAGUUGUGAUAAAAAAAAAAAAA